rnacentral:lncRNA from 1 species
CUGCAAUUUCACUGCUCAAUUCCCUGUCAUUUAGGAGUUAAAUCACUUUGUUUCUGUUUAUGCAGCCCUAGCCACACCUCCCCUGGCUAUGAUUGACAGAGCCUGCAUGAAAAAAAAACAAAAAAAAACUGGUUUCACUUUCAAACAGAUGUAAAUUACCUUAAAUAAUUGUAUCUCAAUCUCUAAAUUGAACUUUAAUCACAUACAG